UGGGGAAUAUUGCACAAUGGGGGAAACCCUGAUGCAGCGACGCCGCGUGAACGAAGAAGGUAUUCGUAUCGUAAAGUUCUGUCCUAUGGGAAGAUAAUGACAGUACCAUAGAAGAAAGCUCCGGCUAAAUACGUGCCAGCAGCCGCGGUAAUACGUAUGGAGCGAGCGUUGUCCGGAAAUAUUGGGCGUAAAGGGUACGCAGGCGGUUUAAUAAGUCGAAUGUUAAAGAUCGGGGCUCAACCCCGUAAAGCAUUGGAAACUGAUAAACUUGAGUAGUGGAGAGGAAAGUGGAAUUCCUAGUGUAGUGGUGAAAUACGUAGAUAUUAGGAGGAAUACCAGUAGCGAAGGCGACUUUCUGGACACAAACUGACGCUGAGGUACGAAAGCGUGGGGAGCAAACAGG
rnacentral:rRNA from 1 species